rnacentral:rRNA from 1 species
GCCACCGAAUACAUUAGCAUGGGAUAAUGGAAUAGGACCCUGUCCUCCUAUUUUCAGUUGGUUUGCCGCGAGGACCAGGGUAAUGAUUAAUAGGGAUAGUUGGGGGCAUUAAUAUUUAAUUGUCAGAGGUGAAAUUCUUGGAUUUAUGAAAGAUUAACUUCUGCGAAAGCAUCUGCCAAGGAUGUUUUCAUUAAUCAAGAACGAAAGUUAGGGGAUCGAAGACGAUCAGAUACCGUCGUAGUCUUAACCAUAAACGAUGCCGACCAGCGAUUAGGAGACGUUGAAUACAAAACACCACCAUGCGCAUUGCGGUCGUCUUUGGUGUCGCUCACAAGGCGGCACCGGGGCGGCUUAGCUCGCAUGGCACCGGUGAAUGACUCC